AUGCACCUCUGACGGACCUGGAGCAGUUAAUGUCUGCUGCUAAGGUUUCCACUAUAGAUGAAAGAAAAAGAAGGUCCUUGUGCUGUCUAUCUGGUUGUGGCAGCCAAGAUUGAGUGGGGGAGGACAGGA
rnacentral:snoRNA from 1 species